GUCAGAUCAGCAGUGGCAUUACAUUCUCAUAGAAGCACAAACUCCACUGUGAACUGCACAUGUGAGGGGUCUAGGUUGUGCACUCCUUAUGAGAAUCUAAUGCCUGACGAUCUGUCACUGUCUCUUAUCACCCCCAGAUGGAACCAUCUACUUGCAGGAAAACAAGCUCACGUCUCUCAGUGAUUCUACAUAAUGGGGUGAGGGAGCUGAUUUGAUUUGUUCUCUGGAAUUCCAGAUGGAAAACCAGGAACAGCGGUGGAAGCUACAGGGAGACAGACUUCAGCUCAAUGUCAGGACAAACUUUUCAGCAGUUGGGUGCACCCGAACAAGCUGCCUUGUGAGGGAGUGAGGACCUCUUUCUGGAAGUGUGUUAGCAGAAGCUGGAGGGCCCUCUUUCUGGGAUGCUGUGAAGGGGUUUCCUGCUUUGGGUGGGAGGGAGAACCAGAUGGUUUUGAGAUUCCUCUGGGAGGCUGCAUUUCUAUGUUUAUGCCCUUUCCUGAGACAGACUUGGAGUAUUUUGGUGCCUCCUGUGCUUUGGGUAUGAAAUUCAAAGAUGAUGCCUGCCCAACUCUUAGUAAGCGCAUAAGGUCCAGAAAAUGCAGAGUCACUGUCUACAGAGAAAACGCCCGCAGUGCUCAGUGUAAUCCAAUCACCCUUUAAAUCUCAUUACCUGACACUUUUGACGCAGUGGCCAAAAUGGCGGAUAAUAUUUAAGAGUGCGUGCCAUUUACUGAUCUAAGUAGCUUUGUACUUAUGAACUAUUUCAAUCUUCCCAACAGCCUCAUGAGGCAUGACUAGCCCCUUUUCCCAGGGCACUACUCUAGCACGAGAGGUUAGAAACACAUGCACGUCUACACACUAGGAAGUAGUGGAAUUAGGACCCAGAACUAGGCAGCUUAGCUCUGGAGCCUGUGCUCUUAGCUGCUGUGGUGAACCGUGUCAGCCUCAAGCCAUGUUCUUUUAUCGACCUGAGCUCACAAGAUGCUUUUCCCCAUGCAAAGAAACACAUACUCCUCUUUUUUCUUGUCAAACUACUCCUGCUUCAAGAUUCAACAUGGGCUUCCCUCUCUCUUCUUCAUGCCCAACUGCGCUUCAACAAAAUCACUUGUAGUGUAUUACUUCUUUGUCUGCCUGUUUCCCCCACCUGCCUGGGGGCGUCUUAAGAGCAGUAGCUGUGCACUUUUGGUGCUGACGUUAGACUGGACAGAAAAUAGACAGCAAGUAAAUGUUUGUUGAAUGAAUAAGCAAACUGAUCUCAAACUGCGUAGACAAUUUCUUCUGUUAUAUGCUUCAAUUGCUUUAAAUGAUUACAGUUUUGGCUUUUGGGGUUUUUGUUUGUUCAUUUGUUUUUUAUAGGGUCUUGCUCUGUCACCCAGGGUGGAGCUCAGUUGUGUGAUCAUAGCUCACUGCAGACUCCAACUCCUAGCUCAAGCAAUCUUCCUACCUCAUCCUUCUGAGAAGCUGUGACUACAGGUGUGCGUCACCACACCUGGCUAAUGUUUUAAGUGUUUUGGAGAAACAAGAUCUCGCUCUGUUUGCCAGGCUGCUAUCAAACUCCUGAUUUCAUGCGAUCCUCCUGCCUUUUCCUCCCAAAGUGCUGGGAUCACAGGGGUGAGCCACUGCAUCCAGCCAAAUACUGACAUUUUUAAAUGAAGACCUGUGGCAGAUGCAGUUUAGGUGUCUGAAAGUCCCUGAAUUCUGAUUGCCUGUGUACAGGUGCACCUUACCGGGAAAAGAUUAUGUCACACGGAUAUCAGUCCAAGUUUUUUGAGAUGCAGAUGCCCAGACAGGAAUAGACAUGCAAAAGAUUUCCUUAAGGAGAUGCCUAGGAUGCGGGUAUGCAAAGGGGGUGAAGGGAGACAGGUAGAACCGUCUGGCAGUGACAGAGAUCUGAUCCAUGUGAAGCAGAAAGGGAAGGAAAGAAGGUUGGGCAGAAAUGUCUGCAUCUGUAGUGCCGUUGAAGGAAAUACUGCAAGGCCCUGAAGGAGUCUUCAAGCAAAGCUGCUGGGUGAGGAAGUCCUGGGUUUCGCAGGAAUGGGCCUGCUGUGUUCAGUCUUUGGCCAAGAGCAUCCUCUGGGACAUGUGGCCUGAGAACUAACAUAGCGGUUGACAGAUUUCAGAGCAUAGCAGCUGGAGCCCUUGGUCAGUGAUGCCCUGGAGCUCUGAGAGGUGGGUCUUCAUGUCCACCCCACCUUAAGUCUCAAAAAGAUCAAUAACUCUCAGAACAGUGAGGAAGCACCGCUGCACCUGUGGGACUGGGCAGUGGCCCUAUGGUUUCAUUGUGACGUUUUCAGGGAGAAAGUAGAUGCCAGCAUCUCCUACAGAUUCCAGAUUUUUAUCCCUUGAGUGAUACCAACUUACUCUAUCACCUUGACCCAGCCACAUUACAACUUCCAACCUCAGCUUCUCCAGUCCAAAUACAAUGUGGAAUGUUGAAGAGAGAGCCAUUGGAUUGCUGCCCAGGACAGAACUGGCUGAGACAUCUAUGUACAGAUGAGAAAACUGCAGCACAGCGGCAUAAGUAACUUGCCCAAGGCCACACUCCUAAUAAGUUGUGGAGCUGGGUUGCAAACUCAGACACUCCAGCUCAAGACCACGCACUUAAGUACGAGGCUCUGCCAAAGGGAAGGAGAAAGUAGAACCAGAAUGUCCCCAAGAGGUGGCCUGGGAAGAUGGUGUCAUCCAGAUGUGGAGAGAAUUUUCCACUCAGCACGUUCAAUGAAAGAAGCUCCUGCUGGAGCCAACAGCACAGGAGACAACGGCAGGGCUGGCCCUGGGCCAGCAGAACCUUGGCCUUCCUCUGCACAGAUUGCAUCUUGAUUGCAGGUCUUCAUCCAGCAGCCACAUGCGAGCUUUAGUGAGACUUUAAACCUUGUCACAUUAUAUUAGUCCAUUCUCAUGCUGCUGUAUAAAGAACUGCCUGAGACUGAGUAAUUUAUAAAGGAAAGAGGUUUAAUUGCCUCACAGUUCCACAUGGCUGAGGAGGCCUCAGGAAACUUACAAUCAUGGCAGAAGGGGAAGCAAACGUGAUGUCAGGAAGGAGAAGUGCUGAGUAAAGCGUGAAAAGCCUCUUAUAAAACCAUCAGAUCUCAUGAGAACUCACUGACUAUCAUGAGAACAGCAGCAUGGGGGUAACCACCCCGUGAUUCAAUUACCUCCCACUGGGUCUCUCCCACGACAUGUGAGGAUUAUGGGAACUACAAUUCAAGAUGAGAUUUGGGUGCGGACGCAGCCAAACCAUAUCACACGUCAUCAGCAAACUUAACAUUUCUCUCUGUGUGUAGGUGUGUGUGUUUAAAGCUAGAAUAAAAAAAAAACAUUUCAAGCUUGUGUUAAGACCAUUUUCAAGAUACAGCCCUGGAGAACGUGGUGGGGUUUCCCCCAUGGGUCCCUAGUUAAAGAGUGCCACAUAAGAUGCCCCAUCAGGCGACGGGGCCCUGCAGGGCCCACACCCUAACCAACAUCAUGGUGUAAGAUCAACAGAUAGAUCUGUUGUUUAACUGCAUCUCCAGGACAUUUCAAGCAGGGUGGAGCUUCCUGGGGGACAGAGAUGAGGGGAAGCAGCCCCACCUUUAUUCAUUCAACAAAUACUUACUGAGCACCUAUUAUGUGCCAGCCAUUGGCAGGUGCUGGGGGAGCAUCAGUGAACUUGUAGUGGAAGAGACAGAAAAUAAAGAGAAAAAUAAAGGGCAGCAUAUAAGAAGAAAACAAAAGCCAGUGAGAGAAGAUAGCAGGAGGCAUGGAGUACCAUCCUCUAGGUGGGAUGGCCCAAGUGGCAUUCAGACAGAGAUUGGAACAGGUCAAGAGCAAGACUAGGGGCUGAGGGAAGGGCCAGCAUGAGGCGUGGAAGCAAGAGGGAUGAAGUGGAAGAAAUAACCAUGGAAAUGGCAGAGGCGGGCUGUGGAGGGGCUUGAGACCUCGGUAGGGACUUGGGUUUUUAACCGACAGCGAUGCUCAGUUAUAGUUUGGGGGUUUUUUCUUAAAUAAUAGACUUUAUUUUUAGAGCUGUUUUAGGUUUACAGAACAAUUGAGCAGAGAGUACAGAGAGUUCUCACCUACUCCUCUCCCCUCACACAGUUUCCACUAAACGUCUUGCACUAGUGUGGUUCAUACGCUAAGAUCGAUGAACCAAUAUUCACACAUUAUUAUUAAUUGAAGUCCUUAGGGGAUAUUGGGGUUCACUCUUUGUGUUGUACAUUCUGCGGGUUCAAAUAAACGCAUAAGUGUCACAUAUCCACCCUGAUGGCAUCAUCUACAAUAGUUUCACUGCGCUAAAAAUCCUGUGCUCCCCUUGCUCACCCCUCCUCCUUCGCCCUGAAACUCUGGCAACCACUGAUGUUUUUACUGUCUAACUUUGCUUUUUCCAGAAUGUCAGAUAGUUGGAAUCAUUCAGUAUAUAGCCUUUUCAGCUUCUUUCACUUGGUAACGUGCAUUUACAUUUCUUCCAUGUCUUUUCAUGGUUUGAUAGCUAAUUUCUCUUGAUUGCUCAAUAAUAUUCCACUGUAUGGCUGAACUCCAGUUUGUUCAUCCAUUCCCCUAUUGAGGGACAUCUCAGCUGCUUUCAGUUUUUGGCAAUGAUGAGUAAACAUUCGUGUGCAGGUUUUUGCUUGGACAUUUGUUUCCAGUUUAUGUGGAUACAAGCUCAGGUGCACGCUGGCUGAAUCAUAAGGUAAGACCAUGUCUAGCUUUGUAAGAAAUUGCCAAACUGUCCUCCAGAGGAGUGAUGGAUCUGAUCUGGGGGUUAGAAGAUUCAUUUGACUGCUGGUGGAGAAAAGAGACCAAGCAGGCCAAGCUGUAACCCUGUGGGCUAGUGCAAAGUGGGUGCAGCCUCUGCAGGCAGGAGCUGGCAGGAGCCAAAUGACUGGGGACACAGCAGAGGGUGUGGUGGAAAAGCACUGAGUUUGAGGCUCAAAUCUGUUUCACAUAUGGCCUAUCCAUAAACAACCAUAUUUGUACAUAGGUGCUGCAUUUUUAAAAGGUUCUUGAAAACCCCCACCCUGAUGAGCUUUGGGGUGACUUCCAGCUCUGUGAUUAGAAAAGGCUUCGUUCAAACAGCAAGCAAAAGGUUCAAAAAGCUCCUUUUUCUUUGCAUAGUUCAAGAAGAUGGUUUGUAUCGUAUCUAAACCUAACAAUUUAGCAGGAUUUUCCUUUGUAGUAAUUAUGUGAUGAUCAAUGUCUCUGUCUUUCCUAGGGGGAAAACCUACUAAAUAUAUGUUCUAUCUAAAAUUGUUGUUUUUAUUGUUAUAAACCAGGACAAGUGAGGUGCUGUUUCAUAUUUAGCAACAUAUAAUUUACCUCUUGUACAUCUUCCUUUAAACUUAUGGUUACCUUGUCUCAAGGUAAAGAGCGGCAAACAAUGAAUUAUUGUCAUUAUCUUAUAAUCAAGUACAGAGCCGCCAACAAUGGAUGUCAUUAUGUUCUAAUGGGGAAAUAACCAGCCAAUUCUACAGUGGUCAUUACGGCAGCAAAAAUUAAUAAUGUUCUGACUUUUUUUUUCUCCCCUUUUUUAUUUUCAACACCAAUUAAAACUGUUUUCAAGUGUUUCUUCCUACAUUGUCUGAAUCCCAGUUAGCAAAAUGAUUGUUUAGCAAAUGUGAUCUGGCAGCAGAAACCGAGGGAUUCUGUUCCUUUAAUUGUGAGCCAGUUAAAGGGAAGAAGAGUCUUUCUAUUUUCUGGGGCAAUGUGUACUUACCUGGGAGAGGAGGAGCAGCGAG
rnacentral:lncRNA from 10 species